rnacentral:rRNA from 1 species
UACGAAGGGGGCUAGCGUUGCUCGGAAUCACUGGGCGUAAAGCGCACGUAGGCGGAUUUCUAAGUCAGGGGUGAAAUCCUGGAGCUCAACUCCAGAACUGCCUUUGAUACUGGGAAUCUCGAGUCCGGGAGAGGUGAGUGGAACUGCGAGUGUAGAGGUGAAAUUCGUAGAUAUUCGCAAGAACACCAGUGGCGAAGGCAGCUCACUGGCCCGGUACUGACGCUGAGGUGCGAAAGCGUGGGGAGCGAACAGG